rnacentral:lncRNA from 1 species
CUACUCCUGAUAAAUUUCUGGGAUGUGGGACUGCCUACCAGGAUCGAGGUGGAGGGGUUGUACCUAUAAGAAGCACUUGCUUGAUGGAGAUGCAGUAAGGAGUAAAUGAGCCGAUCCCUGCAUAAACUCAGUAACAAGCUUGCAAACAAUUCCAGUGGAAGGAAUUGUCCUAUUGGGGAUCUCACACCAAACUGGGGUGCUUGCCAGAUUCCUUUGGUGACCCCAGGGCUACCAGUGGACUCCAGCUUUUCACAUCCGGUCAUGUUCCUAAAGCAUCUGCACCUUCUGAUGAGCUUUAGGUCUUCAGAUAGCAUCACUUACAUUCAUGAGUUAAAACUUCCUUAUGGCAAUACGUCUCCACAGAUGCAUUUCCAUUGGCCUAAACAUUACUGGCACAUGGUACCAGUUUGACUAAAUUGUAUUUUUUCUAUUUUUGAUAUAGUGCCUUACCCAAGAUUUUAAAUGUUGUCUAAUGAGUUUUGCUGUAAGUAAAUCUUUUUUUUUUGUAAU